UGGGAGGCCCAACGUCUCUGCUUCUCUCCGGCUCCAGUGCAGCGGGCGGCGGGGUUUGCCCAACAUCUCCCACCUCCCUCCGCUGGACUUCCCUUCCACGCUCCGUGGACUUCCCUUCCACGCUUGGAUGCCCAGCCGCGCCUGUUUUCUUACAUCCCUCCUGUCGUGUCUGCGGGACUGCCCUGAAGGCCUCUUUCCCUCCAGGGAAGAAAGGGAUCCAAAGCUAGGAGUGAAAAUAGAGCCAGCAAUAUCUAGCAGACUGGUUCUGGCCAGGAGAAGGGGUUAAGGGAGCCGCUCAUUCUUCGCCUGGGUACCCUUCAAAGAGGGGACCCAGAUCCUACGGGAAGCUAGGUGCCACAACUCCUGCCUUUCCAAGACGAGCUCAUCCCCAUCAUCACCAUACGCAGGAAUACCUGUUCAUAACCAGCCCAGAUGUGCACCAUACUUUAGCUUCCCACGGCCUUCACUUGUUUUCUCCUGUGGGUGAAUUCUAACUAUGCUCACCUGUCACCAAAGAUGGAAACAGAGAAUAGAUCCUGAACACCAGGGAGAUGGUGGUGAGGUGAUAGAGAAACAGAUGACACAUUCAAACAAGAGUUUCCCAGUUUGGACAAUAAAGUAUGGUCAUCCGAGAGCCAUGUCAUUAAACUGAUCUUCAGCAGAGGGCCUGAAUUAGGGAAACAGGUGACAACUGUUAACAAUGAGACACAGUUGAAACCAUGUGGGAGAUCAGAAGCCUUCAGUGACCUUUGGCCACAUCUCCACAUCUUUUCAAAAAUCUCAUAAGGAUGGUUGUAUUAGUCAAGGUUCUCCAGAGAAACAGAAUAAACAGAAGAUUAGAUGAAGAUAUAGAUGCACCAAGAGAAAUUUAUUUUAAGAAGUUGGUUCAUGCAAUUAUGGAGGCUAAAUCUCACGAUCUGCCAACUGCAAGCUGGAGACCCAGGUAAGCUGGUGGCAUAGUUUGAAGGCCAGAAAACCACGGAGCCAAUGGUGUGGAUUCCAGUUUGAGUCUGAAGGUUCAAGUACCAGGAGUGCCAAGGGAGGGAGAAGAUCAAUAUCUCAACUCAAGCAGUCAGGCAGAGCAAGAACUCAACCUUCCUGUGCCUUUUUGUUCUUUCUAUUGAGGCCCUCAGUGGAUCAUGCCCACCCACACUGGGGAGGGCCAUCUGCUUUAUUUAGCCCACCAAUUCAAGUUCUAAUCUCUCACAGACACAUCCAGAAGUAAUGUUGAACCAGAUAUCUGGGCACCCUCUGCCUAGUAAAGUUGACACGUAAAAUUAACCACCACAAUGAUGGUAGAUUAGUUUCCAAAAUUCAACAAGGUCUUACAUCUUCACCACUCCUGACCUAUAAGUUAGCCCUAAACAAUGAACCCCUUCCUUUUUUUAUGAUAUUGAAAAUUACAUUGUGAUAUCCUACCUUGUUUUAACCUGACUGACUCUCUCUUAGCUGAGAGAGCCAGACAGAUUCCAUUUUGGUUUCUUUGCUUGCAGCCCCUUGCCCCCCUCCCUUAAGGACAUAACUGGUGCAAGCUGACUCCAAGCACAUCCAGCAAUGCGCUUUCUGAUAAGAUACUGAGGCAAGCUGUACCAGCAGUUCCUGAGAAUGCACUCGGUUGGUGGUACCCAAAGCCCCUGCGUUUAUCUCUUUGUGAUAAUUUAAGCCCCUACACCUGGAACUGUUUAUGUUCCUGUAACUGUUUCUGUAACCAUUUAUCUUUUAACUUUUUGCCUGAAAAAAAAAAAAAAAAUUGUUUCAGCUAGACUCCUCCUCCCCUAUUUAGACCAAGGUAUAAAAAGAAAUCUAGCCCCUUCUUCAGGGCAGAGAGAAUUUCAAGCUCUAGCCGUCUCUCGGUCGCUGGCAAUAAAGAACUACUGAAUUAGACUCAGAGUGUGGUGUUCUCUCUAUAACUCGCUCGGUUACAACA